GUGAGACUUUAGCAUGGGUUCAGUGCUGCCGUGGCUUCAGGCCGAGUGCACCUGUGACAAAAUUGGCUCACUGGUUCUUCCUUUGAUGUAGGUAACUGCUGUGUACACACCUUGGGCUGAAGAGCCAGUUGUGGCCCUGUUAAGACCCAGAAACCAGGAAGAACAAGGCCCAGUUCCAGACCGUGGGCCUCAUGGGUGUGGCCGCUGUUACCUGGCCACGGCACUGCUGAGCUGCCCACAUAGCUCUCCUCUUUUGGGGGGCAUGGGGGUUCCAGGCUGUCUCAUCCUAGUAGUGCAGGUCCUGAAUUGUCAAUCUUACUAGGAUUGACUUGGGUUUGACUAGAGAGUGUGGAGAGGCUGUGAUGACCUGUGGUGGUACCUGGAGAUUCCAGACUGACAACUGUAUGUGGUCUUAAAAGUGUUAAUUAAGAGGGAACACUGGCUGUGAGUGCUGUAUCAAAUGAUCCAAAUAAACCUGUUUAUUCUUGAAAGGUGAA